GGUGGAGCCGAGCGGCGGAGGCAGGGAAAGUUCAGGCAGCAGUGAGAACAGCAGGAGCAGCCACCACCGCCGCCGCCGCUGCCGCCGCCGCCCGAGCCUGGGGAAGCAGCGAAAGGAGAUGCGGCCAUGUGGAUUCUGGAGGAUUUGACAUUUAAGUGAAUUUUCAAUUAAAGGUUUCUUUAGAUUUCAAGGGGGAACAAUUAAGAUGCUUUUUACCUAGAAGAGGAAUGAUGCUGUUUCAUCCCGAUGACUUUUUUCCUGUUCUGAGGAAAGCUUGCUGGUUGGGCCAUUUCCUUGGCUGAAACAUCGGCGAAACGGAAAGCUGGCGAUUUAGAAAUCUAAACCUCUGCUGGCACUUAGGAGCCCCAAUGGAGGGGUCUACCUGGUCUUCCUUGAUGAUGUGCCCUACCCCGAGAAGGCUAGGAUGAGAGAGACUGUAGGGGCCCGGAGGUGUUGCUCAGCUAUUGUCCCAGCCUCCCAGCCC